AACAGACUUAAACAAAAUGUUUGGAACGAGUUUCGAAAUGGGAUAUGUUGGAACCGAAUGUUAUUAUUAAUUCUGUCGUGUAAUUAAAGUUUCAUGAAGUAUCUGAAAAUGUAUUUAACGUGAAUAUGGAUGGAAUGAAAAAUGAAGGCUUAGAAAUGGAUUUCAAAAAUUUGAUUUCAUGCAUAGAAUGCCAUUCAGAUUCAAGAAAUGUCAGUAUAAUUCUUGAAACCUUGCAAACAAUUAUUAAAAUUUGUGAAAAUCAGGUUUUUCAGGACAUCAUUGGAAAAAUUCAGUGGGUUUACUUUCUACACUUGCAUGUUUUAUUUCUAACCCUUGUCAGAAUUUGAACUAAGAGCCUCCUUACUACUAGC